rnacentral:rRNA from 1 species
AUGAAUGCCUGCGCUCUGAACUCGAUGGAGGUGAAGGCGAAGCCGGCGAGGGGCGGGAAGAGGAGCAGAGCGAGCGGCGGCACCACGGUGGUGCUGCUGGAGAAAAAGGAGUCGGAGAAGGAGAGGAGGAAGCGCAUGAAAGCCCUCUGUGAGAAGCUCGCAUCCCUUAUCCCAAGAGAACACUGCUGCUCCAGCACUGAUACAAUGACCCAACUAGGCAGCCUGGAUGUUGGGGCGUCAUACAUCAAGAAGCUGAAGGAGAGGGUCGAUGAGCUACAACAUAGGAGGAGCUCUGUGCAGGCCUUGGAUACCUUAAAAGGAGAUACUAGCAUCCCAACGCCCACUACCACGACUACCACAAGCAGUGGUGCAGGGUCGCCAGAGGAAGAGAAAGCUUGGGAGGCAUCGGAACCGGUGUUGCAGGUGCGGCAACACGAUGAUUCAAGCAUGGAGGUGAGACUGAUAUGCUGCAUGGAGAGGCCGAUCAAGCUCCAUGAGGUAAUCACCAUCCAUGAGGAAGAAGGUGCUGAGAUCAUCAACGCCAAUCACUCGGUUGCUGGCCACAAAAUGUUCUAUACUAUACACUCUCGGGCCUUCAGCUCGAGAAUUGGCAUAGAUGUUUUAAGGGUAUCUGAACGACUGGGAGCACUGCUCCGACUUUCUUCGCACGAAAAUCAGGCACCGUCGUGCAUGCGCAGCAAUCAGGUCCUCAGGUACACUGAUGGGACCAAUGCGACUCCCAAGGAGCUCGUCAGCAACAACGAUGUAGGUGUAACUAAUAAGGUGCCAAAUCCCGAGUGUGAGUCUUGGGCUAAGCAAGACCAAGUGAUGUGGAGUUCCCUGCUUACGUCAAUAUCAACAGACUUGCUCGAGUAG